rnacentral:rRNA from 1 species
GCGGGAGAUUGCUGCUAUUCGAGUUCGACUUAGCCAUGCAAGUCUAGGGGGAGUUUACUCCACCGGCGAAAUGCUCAGUAACACGUCAUUAAUCUGCCCUUAAGUUCGAGAUAGCCAUGGGAAACUGUGGGUAAUAUCGAAUAAGUCAUAUCAUCUGGAAUGAGAUAUGACAUAAAGCUCCGGCGCUUAAGGAUGAGAUGGCGGCAGAUUAGGUAGUUGGUAGGGUAAUGGCCUACCAAGCCGAUGAUCUGUAGGGGCCAUGAGAGUGGUAGCCUCGAGAGGGAAACUGAGAUACUGUUCCCAGCCCUACGGGGUGCAGCAGGCGCGAAACCUCUACAAUGCACGAAAGUGCGAUAGGGGGACUCGAAGUGCUUAUGGAAACAUAGGCUUUUUUUAUGAGUAAAAAUCAUGGAGAAUAAGUGGUGGGCAAGACUGGUGCCAGCAGCCGCGGUAACACCAGCGCCACAAGUGGCAAUCGCAUAUUGGGCCUAAAGCGUCCGUAGUUGGUUUGGUACAUCUCUUGUGAAAUUGUUGAGCUUAACUCAACAGCGUGCGGGAGACACGGCCUUACUUGGAACCGGGAGGAGUCAGAAGUAUUUCGGGGGGAGCGGUAAAAUGUGAUAAUCCUCGAAGGACUACCUGUGGCAAAGGCGUCUGACUAGAACGGAUUCGACAAUCAGGGACGAAGGCUAGGGGAGCAAACCGGAUUAGAUACCCGAGUAGUCCUAGCAGUAAACUCUGCGAGCUAGGUGUUGCGUGUUCUAUUGGAACAUGCAGUAUCGAAGCGAAGGCGAUAAGCUCGCCGCCUGGGAAGUACUGUCGCAAGACUGAAACUUAAAGGAAUUGGCGGGGGAGCACUACAACGGGUGCGGCGUGCGGUUUAAUCUAACUCCACACAGAAAAUCUCACCAGAGGCGACGGCAGAAUGAUGAUCGCGCUAAAGACGCUAUCGGACGAGCCGAGAGGUAGUGCAUGGCCGCCGUCAGCUCGUGCCGUAAGGUGUCCUGUUAAGUCAGGCAACGAGCGAGAUCUACAUCCACAAUUGACAGCAACCGAUCUUCGGGAUUGGUCACAUUGUGGGGACAGCCUGUGCAAGCAGGAGGAAGGUGUAGGCAACGGUAGGUCUGUAUGCUCCGAAUCCUCUGGGCUACACGCGCGCAACAAUGGUAGGGACAAUGGGAUGCUACUCCGAAAGGAGGCGCUAACCCUCUAAACCCUAUCUUAGUUCAGAUCGUGGGUUGUAACUCACCCACGUGACGCUGGAAUCCGUAGUAAUCAGAAUUCAUCAGAUUCUGGUGAAUACGUCCCUGCUCCUUGCACACACCGCCCGUCAAACCACUCGAGUAAAGUUUAAGUGAGUCUUAGCCUUUUAGUUAGGCCGAACUUAGACUUUGUGAGAUGGGUUAAGUCGUCACAAGGUA